ensembl:snoRNA
UCCCGCGAUGAAAGCGCAUAGGAAGUGCCGUCUGAUGCGAUAACUGACGAUGGUCGAAGCCAAGCGAGUCUGAGG